UACAGAGGUCCCAAGCGUUGUUCGGAAUUAUUGGGCGUAAAGGGUGCGUAGGCGGCCUGACAAGUCUGAUGUGAAAUCCCUGGGCUCAACCCAGGGCCUGCAUCGGAAACUGUCGGGCUUGAGUAUGGGAGAGGUGAGUGGAAUUUCCGGUGUAGCGGUGAAAUGCGUAGAUAUCGGAAGGAACACCUGUGGCGAAAGCGGCUCACUGGACCAUUACUGACGCUGAGGCACGAAAGCUAGGGGAGCAAACAGG
rnacentral:rRNA from 1 species